rnacentral:rRNA from 1 species
AACGAACGCUGGCGGCAGGCCUAACACAUGCAAGUCGAACGCUGCAGCAAUGCAGAGUGGCAGACGGGUGAGCAACGCGUGGGAACCUUCCCAAUGGUACGGAAUAGCCCAGGGAAACUUGGGGUAAUACCGUAUAAGCCCCAUGGGGGAAAGAUUUAUCGCCAUUGGAUGGGCCCGCGUCGGAUUAGCUAGUUGGUGAGGUAACGGCUCACCAAGGAGACGAUCCGUAGCUGGUUUGAGAGAAUGACCAGCCACACUGGGACUGAGACACGGCCCAGACUCCUACAGGAGGCAGCAGUGGGGAAUCUUGGACAAUGGGCGAAAGCCUGAUCCAGCCAUGCCGCGUGAGUGACGAAGGCCUUAGGGUUGUAAAGCUCUUUUGGCGGGGACGAUAAUGACGGUACCCGCAGAAUAAGUCCCGGCUAACUUCGUGCCAGCCGCCGCCGUAA